AAGAAUUUAAGUUAAAAAAACUAUUGACCUUCAAAGUCAAAAAUAGGGCUAUUCCACUAAUUUUUA
rnacentral:tRNA from 1 species